AUAUAUAUCUGCACCUCUUAAAGAAUAUAAAACUGAUCUUGUCUGGUCUCGGAAGCUAAGCAGGGUCGGGCCUGGUUAGUACUUGGAUGGGAGACCACCUAAGAAGACCAGGUGUCAUAGGUG
ensembl:rRNA 5S_rRNA 5S ribosomal RNA